ensembl:lncRNA
AUUUAACAGACCUAGUGGCCAUACAAGGUCGUGGCUUGACGCUGCAAUCUGCAGAGUGGCAGCAUUAUUUUUGUUCAGUGAAGUCCCGUACUGUCGGCUGCCCCAUACCCGCCGCUGUGACUGGAUUUUCACUGGCUUCUCAUUUUUUUUGAAGUUUGCCCCUUCUUCUUUUUGCAAAAGCAACUUUGACUUGACUGCAAGCAGAGAGAGAAAGGGUCCUUGGGCCGAUCUAAAAAGCACCUCAGGAUGUCAGAAUCCUUAAAACUACAAAAGGAACAGCAGCAACGGGACCUUGAGACGCGCUAUGAGAGCAGCUAUCACCAAGGCUCCCUAUCAUCUGUUAGCCGCCAGUCUUAUGCUGCUUAUGUGAGCAGCAGCAGCAGCCAUGGGCACAAGAUCUCAAAGAAGGAGAAGAAACUGAGCACUCUUUCUAAGAAAGAAAAGCGCUCGUACCUGGCUGUGGACAAAGAAGACGAGAUCAUUGGAUACGUCGUGCCAGUCUUCAGAAGCAGGUGAUUGCAUGGUUUGCAAGUUUUAAUAAUUUUGUGUUUUUUUUUGUUUUUUAAAAUAAU